GAUCAUCUUGAAUGGGAAGAGAAGAGAGGUGACCUUUGCUAUGGAUGCAUGCACCACAAGUGUGAGGCCCCACGGUUGCCACCAGGAAUAGCUAUCUACCCAGGACCUGAUGAAGCGCUGUCCAGACAGCUCUGUAAUCCUAUACCAGCACACCAAUAUGUGUGCUAAACUGAUCAAUAAUAAGAUUGAUACAUCUUCUACUUGGGAAAGAAAGAAUGAAGGUCCGCAACCAACACCAAGCUCUGAGAAGUUGACUUGGAUGAUGUUCUACCCAGCUCUCAUCUAAAGGAG
rnacentral:lncRNA from 1 species